GCAGCGGCGCAGGAGCCGCGGGGUCUGCCGGGAGCUGGAGUUCCUUCCGCCCGCCCGCGCGGACGCGCCGACGCACAUCCUGUGCGCCGGAAGGGCCGUCGUCACUCCGGGUGCGCGGGGCCCGUUCCGGGUUCGGCAGCCGUCACCUCCUCCCAGGCCCGAGAGAAGGGGACGGACCUCUUUUGGCUCCAGGGCCGUCUGCCGACUGCCCUUGGGUCCUGUCACCCUGGGCAGAGUGGACCAAAUCGACCGUUGGGAUGGCCGCCAGGGUCCGGACAGCUUCCAUCUGGGUGAGCAGUUUUCUUUCAUUCCUGAACUGUCCCCCUUCCAGGAUCUGACCUUGCCUUGAGUUCUCCCAAGUCACCGGGCC
rnacentral:lncRNA from 1 species